CAGGGAGACAACAAAAUGUUUAAUAUUAUUAUUUUGUCACCUUAGGUCGAUCGGUAUCUCACGUUUUUAAUUUAUUAAGAAUUUCAGUUCCUAAGUUUUUCUAGGUCACACCCAUUAUUUUUCCUGGGCCAUUAGCUCAGGUGGUUAGAGCGCACCCCUGAUAAGGGUGAGGUCCCUGGUUCAAGUCCAGGAUGGCCCAUAUCUCUAUGUUGGGGGUAUAGCUCAGUUGGUAGAGCGCCUGCUUUGCAAGCAGGAUGUCAGCGGUUCGAGUCCGCUUACCUCCACUGAUUACCACCUCUUCCAUACCCGGUAGAAAGGAAAUGUUUUGAGUUGUGAUCAAAUUCUGAAAGAAUCUAGCUUCCUAAUGAAAUCAUUAAGAUGCUGGACUCAUUGAAUUAAUUUCAUUGUUUUCAGAGAACCUUGACAACUGCAUAGAUUAUUUUUAAAGACAAUAAGCAUCUUUAAUGAUGCAGAUUUAUUAUUUGUGCGAAUGCAUUAAUAACAAUUCUAUUAAGCUGAUGCUUCAAUUUUUGAAGUUAUU
rnacentral:tRNA from 1 species